GCCAAGCAGACCUUCCCACAGUACAAGGGCAAAAACGAUCCAUAUGUUCGGUAUAUAAUAGUAGAGAGUCUCGAAGAGCAGGAUUAUAACGUUAGCGAACUGAAAGAAACAAACAAUUUAGAACACAAAGUUUUAUUCAUUACCUGCAACACGGACAUUAUCCAAAUCUUGUUAAUGGUGACUAUGUUUACCGACGAUCUUGAGAUAAAUACACCUAUCUGGUAGUCCACUUGGAGCCAUCUGUAUUGUUCGUCGUGUGUCAACCAAAUGCCAUCAAAUUCGAUAAGCUCGUACUACAAACAGAGUCGCUUGCUUAGUUAAUAGCUUGUAAAAUUAAUAAGUCAGAUAAUGAUUCGCAAUGACAAAA